AAUGUUGACCCUCGGAUCAGGUAGGAAUACCCGCUGGAACUAAGCGUUGUUCUAUAUAAGCUGAAGA
rnacentral:rRNA from 1 species